CGAUGUCUUAUAAGUUCCAUCACCUAUUUAUGUUUGAGAAAAAUGUAAAUAAACAUUUUGUACAAUGAAGUUAUGCCUAGUUAAAAAAAAAAUUGUUGUUGCUAAAAAAAAAAGAAGAAAAAAAAUUGUUGUUUCAAAAGAAUAAAAAUAACAAUAAUAGGUGAAAUCCACCUUGCAACUCACAAAAAAAAUAAAAAAUCCUCUUCAUUUUUCUCAAACAUAUACUUUGUUUUCCUUAUUUC
rnacentral:lncRNA from 1 species